GGUGCUGAAGCAACAAAUGCCCUGCUUCCAGGAAAAGCCUCUAAGCAUCAGGUAACAUCAAAUCGUACCCCAAACCGACACAGGUGGUCAGGUAGAGAAUACCAAGGCGCUUGAGAGAACUCGGGUGAAGGAACUAGGCAAAAUGGUGCCGUAACUUCGGGAGAAGGCACGCUGAUAUGUAGGUGAAGUCCCUCGCGGAUGGAGCUGAAAUCAGUCGAAGAUACCAGCUGGCUGCAACUGUUUAUUAAAAACACAGCACUGUGCAAACACGAAAGUGGACGUAUACGGUGUGACGCCUGCCCGGUGCCGGAAGGUUAAUUGAUGGGGUCAGCGCAAGCGAAGCUCUUGAUCGAAGCCCCGGUAAACGGCGGCCGUAACUAUAACGGUCCUAAGGUAGCGAAAUUCCUUGUCGGGUAAGUUCCGACCUGCACGAAUGGCGUAAUGAUGGCCAGGCUGUCUCCACCCGAGACUCAGUGAAAUUGAACUCGCUGUGAAGAUGCAGUGUACCCGCGGCAAGACGGAAAGACCCCGUGAACCUUUACUAUAGCUUGACACUGAACAUUGAGCCUUGAUGUGUAGGAUAGGUGGGAGGCUUUGAAGUGUGGACGCCAGUCUGCAUGGAGCCGACCUUGAAAUACCACCCUUUAAUGUUUGAUGUUCUAACGUGGACCCGUGAUCCGGGUUGCGGACAGUGUCUGGUGGGUAGUUUGACUGGGGCGGUCUCCUCCUAAAGAGUAACGGAGGAGCACGAAGGUUGGCUAAUCCUGGUCGGACAUCAGGAGGUUAGUGCAAUGGCAUAAGCCAGCUUGACUGCGAGCGUGACGGCGCGAGCAGGUGCGAAAGCAGGUCAUAGUGAUCCGGUGGUUCUGAAUGGAAGGGCCAUCGCUCAACGGAUAAAAGGUACUCCGGGGAUAACAGGCUGAUACCGCCCAAGAGUUCAUAUCGACGGCGGUGUUUGGCACCUCGAUGUCGGCUCAUCACAUCCUGGGGCUGAAGUAGGUCCCAAGGGUAUGGCUGUUCGCCAUUUAAAGUGGUACGCGAGCUGGGUUUAGAACGUCGUGAGACAGUUCGGUCCCUAUCUGCCGUGGGCGCUGGAGAACUGAGGGGGGCUGCUCCUAGUACGAGAGGACCGGAGUGGACGCAUCACUGGUGUUCGGGUUGUCAUGCCAAUGGCACUGCCCGGUAGCUAAAUGCGGAAGAGAUAAGUGCUGAAAGCAUCUAAGCACGAAACUUGCCCCGAGAUGAGUUCUCCCUGACCCUUUAAGGGUCCUGAAGGAACGUUGAAGACGACGACGUUGAUAGGCCGGGUGUGUAAGCGCAGCGAUGCGUUGAGCUAACCGGUACUAAUGAACCGUGAGGCUUAACCUUACAACGCCGAAGGUGUUU
rnacentral:rRNA from 1 species